rnacentral:rRNA from 1 species
UACGUAGGGGGCAAGCGUUGUCCGGAAUCAUUGGGCGUAAAGCGCGCGUAGGCGGCCCUGUAAGUCCGCUGUGAAAGUCAAAGGCUCAACCUUUGAAAGCCGGUGGAUACUGCAGGGCUAGAGUCCGGAAGAGGCGAGUGGAAUUCCUGGUGUAGCGGUGGAAUGCGCAGAUAUCAGGAGGAACACCAAUAGCGAAGGCAGCUCGCUGGGACGGUACUGACGCUAAGGCGCGAAAGCGUGGGGAGCGAACAGGA